rnacentral:rRNA from 1 species
UACGAACUGCGCAAACGUUAUUCGGAAUCACUGGGCUUACAGGGUGCGUAGGCGGCGGGGAAAGUAGGGUGCGAAAUGCCUUGGCUCAACCAAGGCACUGCGCUCUAAACUCCCUCGCUCGAGUGAGUCAGGGGUACGCGGAACUUCCGGUGGAGCGGUGAAAUGUGUUGAUAUCGGAAGGAACACCGGUGGCGAAAGCGGCGUACUGGGGCUUAACUGACGCUGAGGCACGAAAGCCAGGGGAGCGAACGGG